rnacentral:lncRNA from 1 species
AAGAUUAUCAAAGAGCAGCUGAGGAAAGACUUGGGAAUUCAUGUGGAAGAAACUGAUGUUCCUUUGAAACUUCUUCAAAUUACUUAAUCUAGAUCUCUAAUCUAGAAGUUGGCUUGAUUCGGAGUAGAGAGAGGAGAGACAAAAUCUAGCCUGCUUAGCUAUUGGUAGCUUGUGGUCUUGGGGAAAAUAGUCCUUCUUCAGGAUCUGGUUCAAUACAGUUCAAAUGAAGUUGGAUGGAAAACUUCAGUGAAGGGAAUAGUAAUCACCCAGACAUUGUGUGGGUUUGCUUUCCUUCUUCUCCUGGAGGAAUGGAGGGUGUUGUUGACAGCCAGCCUAGAGCCCUCCAGUCUGCCUUCUGCACCUCUCCCAUGCACUACAGGAGCACCAAACGUGAUGCUUGUUGUGACUCACAGAACAGGAACCAGGUAUGUACAACUGAAAGCAUCCCUGAUAUAAAAACAAAUAAACAAAAAAAUCUAAAAGUCAAAAGCAAAACUUUGCUAAUGCUACAGGAAAUUAUCAAUAACAAAUACAAAGACUGAUGUAAAGGGACAUUAUAAUGGUUUGUCCUUGAUUAAAAAUAAUUCAGCUGUUUGAAUUGUGCAUAAACUGAACCAACAACACAAGGAAUUACUAAAAGUAGUGUAUCUCCAAGACUUAAGAUACCUUUUGCCAAUUUUGUGAUAAGAUUAGCCGUAUGUUUCAGUAUUAGAAGACUAUAUCAUAUUAAAGACAAAGUUGUUAACUUUUAUAAGACUUUUUUUUCCCUUCUAAAGCAGAAAAAUCAAAAGAGUGCAAACCUUUUCAAAGCAAAUAAAAAUGACUUAUGUUUUUUUCUCUGCA